rnacentral:rRNA from 1 species
AAACAUCGCCUCCUGCAGUAUAUAGGAGGUCCAGCCUGCCCAGUGACCAAGUUAAACGGCCGCGGUACCCUAACCGUGCGAAGGUAGCGCAAUCACUUGUUCUUUAAAUGAGGACUAGUAUGAAUGGCAUCACGAGGGUUACACUGUCUCCCACCUCUAAUCAGUGAAACUGAUCUCCCCGUGAAGAAGCGGGGAUAAAACUAUAAGACGAGAAGACCCCAUGGAGCUUCAAACCCGGCAUCAACCAUUAACAUUGAUACCACAUUAAAUAAAUGGACCUGACUGCUGGUUUUAGGUUGGGGUGACCGCGGAGCAUAACAAAACCUCCAUGAUGAACGACCUCCUCUCUAAUCCGAGAGCCACCACUCAAAGAAUCAAAAAAUUGACAUUUAUUGACCCAAACUAUUUUGAUCAACGAACCAAGUUACCCCGGGGAUAACAGCGCAAUCCAUUUCAAGAGCCCCUAUCGACAAAUGGGUUUACGACCUCGAUGUUGGAUCAGGGUAUCCUAGUGGUGCAGCCGCUACUAAAGGUUCGUUUGUUCAACGAUUAAAACCCUACGUGAUCUGA